rnacentral:misc_RNA from 1 species
CUUUGAAUUCUCCUGAAUUAUUGUAGAUAAAGACGGUCUAAACAUCCGCUCUCGAAGUGUUUCAAUGAACGUAUUAGGUCCAGAUAAGGUUGUCCCCCAAUUUUUUUCUACACCUUCAACAGCUGCAGCAAUAGCCUUUCCCUUCUCAGCUGCCCUUUCCAUACGAGCAAUAGCAUCAUAUAAACACUUUGCUAUAUCAAGUAUAGCAAUGACCUCUCCAUUUUCCACAACAGGCAAAUGUCUGAAUUUUCCUUGAACCAUCUUCUGUAGAGCUUCCACAGCAAGGGUGUCAGAAAGAACAAAAACUGGGUUCCUUGUCAUAACUUUGGAAACUGGUGUUUCCUCAAGAUUAAUGUCACGAGCAAUUACUCUUGUUACUACAUCCUUAUCUGUAAGGAUUCCACAAAGUAACGCAUUUGAGUCUGUUAGCAAUAAAGCAUCAACUCUACGAGCAGCCAUACGACGGCAAGCCUCAUAAAUACUUGUGGCUUCAGGUACUGUCAGGGCCUUUGACAGGCGCAAUCGUUUCACUGUACGCUCACCAGUUAGUCCCCCGGGCCGAGAAGUGGUGAAAGAUUUUCGUGCAGAAUCCGGGGCUCCACCAUUCUCAGAUGAUUUCUUCCUUGCAAGCGUGGAAGAUGAAUUUGACAACGAAAAACUUUUCCUCGAAGAUCCACCUUGACUGGCCAUCUUCACCUAUAUUCCACACACAAUUCUCAAUCUAUAUCCCUCCAAAUUACUGCAACCAAUCACCAGAACGAGAGAUUAGGCUAGAGUUGUUUCAAUAGCAAAAGAUGACGUAGAUUUCAAUCAACAAAUGAAAUUUUG